UGGGGAAUAUUGGACAAUGGGCGCAAGCCUGAUCCAGCCAUGCCGCGUGAGUGAUGAAGGCCCUAGGGUUGUAAAGCUCUUUCACCGGUGAAGAUAAUGACGGUAACCGGAGAAGAAGCCCCGGCUAACUUCGUGCCAGCAGCCGCGGUAAUACGAAGGGGGCUAGCGUUGUUCGGAUUUACUGGGCGUAAAGCGCACGUAGGCGGACUUUUAAGUCAGGGGUGAAAUCCCGGGGCUCAACCCCGGAACUGCCUUUGAUACUGGAAGUCUUGAGUAUGGUAGAGGUGAGUGGAAUUCCGAGUGUAGAGGUGAAAUUCGGAGAUAUUCGGAGGAACACCAGUGGCGAAGGCGGCUCACUGGACCAUUACUGACGCUGAGGUGCGAAAGCGUGGUGAGCAAACAGG
rnacentral:rRNA from 1 species